GACGUAGGAGGCGAGCGUUGUCCGGAUUCAUUGGGCGUAAAGAGCACGCAGGCGGUUUGGCAAGUCGGAUGUGAAAACCCGAAGCUCAACUUCGGGCCUGCAUCCGAAACUGCCCGACUAGAGGUAGGUAGGGGAGAUCGGAAUUCCAGGUGUAGCGGUGAAAUGCGUAGAUAUCUGGAGGAACACCGGUGGCGAAGGCGACAUCCUGGACCGGUAUUGACGCUGAGGCGCGAAAGCCAGGGGAGCAAACGGG
rnacentral:rRNA from 1 species